GCAGGCGCGCGGGCUGGCAAGAGGCCGGGCUCCGCCUCUGCUCUGUCACUGGUUAACAACGAGCCGGGCCGCCGCCGCCGCUGCUGCUACGCCGCUUCGCUCCCGCCCCCCCCUCCCCGAAAUCGGCGGGGGUAGCAGCAGCACCACCACCAGCACAAGGGCGGUCGAGACGAGCAGGAGAAGGAGCAGGACGGGGAGGGAGCCAGCCGACAUGAGGCGAGAGACCAGCUGGCCUUGUCGAUAGAAGAUCUGUAUAGUGCUAAUUACUUGCAACCAUGGUGCAGAAAUACCAGUCUCCCGUGAGGGUGUAUAAGCACCCCUUUGAAUUAAUUAUGGCUGCUUAUGAAAGAAGGUUUCCCACGUGCCCCCUCAUUCCCAUGUUCGUUGCCAGUGAUACUAUGAAUGAAUUCAAGAGUGAUGACGGGGCAGUCCAUAUGAUUGAAAGACGCUGUAAACUGGAUGUAGAUUUCCCACGACUCCUGAAAAAGAUUGCAGGGGUAGAUUAUGUCUACUUUAUUCAAAAGAACUCCUUGAACAGAAGAGAACGCACUUUACACAUAGAGGCCUACAAUGAAACAUUUUCGAACAGAGUUGUCAUCAAUGAAUGUUGCUGUUACACAGUGCAUCCAGACAAUGAAGACUGGACCUGUUUUGAGCAGUCUGCAAGCCUUGAUAUUAAAUCUUUCUUUGGCUUUGAAAGCACAGUAGAAAAGAUUGCUAUGAAACAGUAUACCAGCAAUAUUAAAAAGGGCAAAGAAAUAAUUGAGUACUACCUGAAGCAGCUAGAAGAAGAAGGAAUAAUGUUUAUCCCUCGUUGGACUCCCCCUGUUAAAUACACAUUUGAGCGUAGAUCUCAUGUAGGACAACCACUGUCUUCGCCAGUCAACAUACCUGAUAAUGCCAUUAAAGAAGGAAUAAACACUAAAGAUCUCAACGCUUGCAACAAUGCAAUAGACCCCACAGCAGGAACACCCGACGACAAGCUGGAUGCAGACUACAUCAAAAGGUAUCUGGGCGACUUGACACCGCUUCAGGAAAGCUGCCUGAUCAGGCUUCGGCAGUGGCUUCAAGAAACGCACAAGGGCAAAAUCCCAAAGGAUGAACACAUUUUAAGAUUCUUGCGAGCUAGAGAUUUCAACAUUGACAAAUCCAGAGAAAUCCUCUGCCAGUCAUUAACAUGGCGUAAACAGCACCAGGUGGAUUAUAUUCUGGAUACAUGGAACCCUCCUCAGGUCCUGCAAGAUUAUUAUGCAGGAGGCUGGCAUCACCACGAUAAAGAUGGGCGUCCACUGUACGUUCUGAGACUUGGCCAGAUGGAUACCAAAGGUUUGGUGCGAGCCCUUGGAGAAGAAGCCUUACUUCGCUAUGUUCUCUCUAUAAAUGAGGAAGGACUGAGGCGGUGUGAAGAAAAUACAAAAGUAUUUGGAAGACCUAUAAGCUCAUGGACCUGUCUGGUGGACCUGGAGGGCUUGAAUAUGCGACACUUAUGGAGACCUGGUGUCAAGGCCUUGCUAAGAAUUAUUGAGGUUGUUGAAGCCAAUUAUCCAGAAACACUGGGACGCCUUCUCAUCCUGCGAGCUCCCAGGGUAUUUCCAGUCCUCUGGACACUGGUUAGUCCAUUUAUCGAUGACAACACUAGAAAGAAAUUCCUGGUUUAUGCAGGCAAUGACUAUCAAAGUCCUGGUGGGCUGCUGGAUUAUAUCGACAAAGAAAUUAUUCCAGAUUUUCUUGGUGGCGAAUGCAUGUGUGAAGUUCCAGAGGGCGGGCUGGUUCCCAAAUCAUUGUACCGGACAGCAGAAGAACUGGAAAAUGAAGACAUAAGAUUGUGGACGGAAACCAUCUAUCAGUCUGCAAGUGUCUUCAAAGGAUCUCCCCAUGAGAUUUUUAUUCAGAUUGUGGAAGCGUCCGCUGUGAUCACCUGGGAUUUUGACGUUUGUAAAGGUGACAUUGUCUUUAACAUCUAUCACUCCAAGAGAGCACCACAGCCUCCUAAAAAGGAUUCCCUGGGGGCCCACAGCAUCACCUCUCCUGGUGGCAACAAUGUGCAACUCAUAGACAAAGCUUGGCAGAUGGGGCGAGACUACAGUAUGGUGGAGUCUCCACUCAUUUGUAAGGAAGGGGAGAGUGUUCAGGGUUCUCAUGUGACUAGAUGGCCUGGUUUCUAUAUUCUCCAGUGGAAGUUCCACAGUAUGCCUGCCUGCGCUACAACCAACAUGCCUCGUGUGGAUGAUGUCCUAGCAUCUCUACAGGUCUCAUCUCAUAAGUGUAAAGUGAUGUACUACACAGAAGUAAUUGGGUCAGAAGAUUUCAGGGGGUCCAUGAGCAGCCUUGAAUCAAGCCACAGUGGAUUUUCUCAGCUCAGUGCUGCUACAACCUCUUCCAGCCAGUCUCACUCCAGCUCCAUGAUUUCCAGGUAGUGCCACUGCCAGCAAAAAGCCAGUGGAUGAGAUGGCCGGACCUUCGUCUGUGGCAGCCAACUGCAAUACAGCAUAAUCAUCAGUGACAACUGCAAAAAUAAAUAAAUACACAAGUGGACGGCCUUUUUAUAGAUAGUAAAGCAGCUGUUUGCAUUUAAAUAUACUGGUUUUGUUUUGAAUUAGACUUAAAAGCGAGUGUGUCUAACUCAGUAGCCAUAGUUUUUUAUAAACAUGCUUGCACAACUUGGAAACGCAAGGGCUGCUUUGGAAAGAAAAGAAUAAUCAGUGUGCUGGUGGUUGAAAAUUUAUUUUUAGAAUAAACACCCUACUAAAAAAAACCUCCAUAGUGCAUUAAGCUUAACCAGCAGGUCCUGCCAGUGAGGUUCCCCUGAGGUUUGAAAACACUUUCUCCCUUCCUGCUCCUGUGAAUUCCCCUCCUGUGUUACUCCCCACCAUUAAGUCUGGAGGAGCACAGUGGCUGGAUGCUGGACAUUUCAUGGAGUGCCAGCUGGUGACUGGCUGAGCGAUGACCUUUUCUCUUGACUUUGUCACAGAGGGGUGCUGCCCUCUGUGGAGGAAGCAGAAUUGCAGACUCGGGAAGCCAUUUUGACACUGAUACAUUCCACUUAUUAGCUCACACUGUUAAAGGCAUACUCCAGCUUUGGGCAUUGAAAGGUUGUAAGCUUUCAAUUUACAUUUCUGAGCACUGAAGAUAGAUAGGAUCAAAGAGGAUAGAGCAGGCUCUCCUCUACCCAAAGGCUAGCUCUCCUUUGGGUCCUCAGGUUCAUUUCUUUCUCUCCAAUUCUUGAGACCUGUUUUGACCACACCCCACUUGCAUCUUUUCACUGUCAACAAGCACCCAUUGAAUGGAGAUAUCUUUUCUGCCAAGAGCUGAUUAGAAGAAGAUGGCGAUUUUGCUGACAGCUGUAAAGAACCCACUUCACUCAACAGUCCACAUCAGCCCAGGGAUGUCUGGCUUUGUAGAACUUUUUUGAGUUGCAGCCACUUCUCCUGUCUGAAGACCUUAAGUUUGCUCAGAAGUGUCCCUUGGGGAUACUUUUCUCUAGAAGCCUAAUGCAUCUUUCAGAGCUCAAAGCACAAACACUUGAGGAGGUCCAUACACUCAAAAAGCAAGUCUUUUUUUUUAUUAAAGUGGAGUUCCAUAGCAACUAUGACCUGACUAACCCAUGGCUUCUCUCCUUAGUGUGUGUGAUUUUAGCUUUGUUCUUUACUCCAUUCUCCUUCGUACCAGAUUCAGCUGGCCUUUCUUCUCCUGAACUUAAUUUAGCAACAUGGUCCCUCCUGCUCUUCUACAUGUUCAUGAACUUCAUAUCAAUUUCUGUAAAUGUUUUGUAAACAUAUUACCUCAAUCUUGGUAAUAAGAUAACAGUCUUUAAAAGAUUUUUUUAUUUGUAUUGAUAAUAAAUGUGAACUCUUUGGGGGAAAA